rnacentral:snRNA from 1 species
GUGCUCACUUUGGCAGCACAUAUACUAAAAUUGGAAUGAUACAUGGCCCUUGUGCAAGAAUGACAUGUACAUUCAUGAAGCAGUCCAUAUACAU